rnacentral:rRNA from 1 species
UACGGAGGGUGCAAGCGUUAUCCGGAUUUACUGGGUUUAAAGGGUGCGUAGGUGGGUCUGUAAGUCAGUGGUGAAAUCCCCGAGCUUAACUUGGGAACUGCCGUUGAUACUAUAGAUCUUGAAUAUCGUGGAGGUAAGCGGAAUAUGUCAUGUAGCGGUGAAAUGCUUAGAUAUGACAUAGAACACCAAUUGCGAAGGCAGCUUACUACACGAUCAUUGACACUGAGGCACGAAAGCGUGGGGAGCAAACAGG